rnacentral:piRNA from 1 species
GACUAGCAUUAGAGCGUACUUCUUUG